rnacentral:rRNA from 1 species
UACGGGGGGAGCAAGCGUUGUUCGGAUUUACUGGGCGUAAAGGGCGCGUAGGCGGUCAGCACAAGUCAGUUGUGAAAUCUCCGGGCUUAACUCGGAAAGGUCAACUGAUACUGUGCGACUAGAGUGCGGAAGGGGCAACUGGAAUCCUCGGUGUAGCGGUGAAAUGCGUAGAUAUCGGAAAGAACACCAACGGCGAAAGCACUCUGCUGGGCCGACACUGACACUGAGAGACGAAAGCUAGGGGAGCGAAUGGG